CAUUAACGGCAGGGCCUGGGAGGGGGGCCCCCCACGAUGGGCGAAGUGUCCAUUAGGGGUGAGCAGAUGUGCGCCGGCCGUACCGCCCCAUUCUUGUNUACCUUANUCGGUUGCCUUGGCGGGCCGNGNUCUCUNUCAGGAGAGCCGUUCGGCGAGCCUCUCUUUAGUGGCUCAACGCUGGACCGCGCCCGCCGGAGGAACAGACGCAAAAAAUUCUUUCAGAAGAGCUGUCAGUCUGAGCGUUAGCAAGCAAAAAUCAGUUAAAACUUUCAACAACGGAUCUCUUGGUUCCGGCAUCGAUGAAGAACGCAGCGAAAUGCGAUAAGUAAUGUGAAUUGCAGAAUUCCGUGAAUCAUCGAAUCUUUGAACGCACAUUGCGCCCCCUGGUAUUCCGGGGGGCAUGCCUGUUCGAGCGUCAUUUCAGCCCCUCAAGCCCGGCUUGUGUGAUGGACGACCGUCCGGCACCCCCUUUCUCGGGGGUGCGGGACGCGCCCGAAAAGCAGUGGCCAGGCCGCGAUUCCGGCUUCCUAGGCGAAUGGGCGCAACAAACCAGCGCCUCCAGGACCGGCCGCUCUGGCCUCAG
rnacentral:misc_RNA from 1 species